rnacentral:misc_RNA from 1 species
CCCACAUAACCUAUUCUUUUAACAUUAGUUAAAUGCUCCAAAUUAAGCAUGACUGAAGCCAAAAGGUUAGGUUGAUACAAAUACAUGAAGGCGGUUCUGCAAUCCUCAUGUACAACAUAACUACAUAAGAGUAGUGUCAACUGCUUUCUUUAAAGUUAAAGAAGAGAAGGUACUCAAAUCCGUAAAGAUCAAUAACAUGUAUUGCAUUCCAAAGAAUUCUAAUACGCUUCCAUUCCCAAUUUCACUAUUUUGCUUAACAAUGGGCAAUAAAAGUACCCUAAACAAUGGUUUACCCCAAUUUUUGUGAGACGGGACUUAGUCUUCCUAUUUCUAUACAAGCUACUAACAGGGAUUUCCCCAUGUAAAUAGAUUUUUGGAGUGACUUGGGAAAGAGCUGUCAUACUCUAAUUGUAAUGAGGUAAGGAAAAAAGAAAAAGUCGAGGAAAGAAAAAGCAACUUUCAAUGUUGGUAUGUUGCCUGUUUAUCAAGAUGCUUCUGGUCAGAUUCUAAUCUGAAUGUGUUGAAGAAGACACAUUAUUUGUCAAUUCAGCUAGCUCCUUCUCCUGCUGCUUUUUCAAAUACUCCUGUGCAGUUGCAGUCACAAUCUUGCAAAAGAAGUUCAAAAGCAUGAGCCAAACAAUGGUAUUCCACAAUGCAGCAAAUGAGAAAUCCCAUUUUUUCACCUUGUUAUUUGAAGGCAGAGGUGGCGCAGGUGACAUAUAUUUUUCUUUAAUUGAAUGCAGUUUGCCUAUAAGUUUGGGCAGGACAGAAUCCAAGCCAGGUACAAAGCUGAGCACCCAGAUCAACUCAUUCUCUAUCCAGUCAAGUAGUUGAUUAUUACAGACAGAGAUGAUAAAAACUGUCUGUAUAUGAGUUUUCACAAGUGCCUUCCCAAUCAAAGUUGCAAGAAAAAACUUCCAAAAUGAAAUCCCAAAUUGUCCACACAUAAUGCCAGCAAGGUCGAAUAGGGGAUUUGGCACCUAAAAGAUAUUGUAGUUCAUCAGCGACUUGCACAUUUAUAAACAAUGAAAACAACACAAACAGAUGAUAAAUCAAGGUCAACUUUUAAUCUAACAAAUCCUGUAUCACAAUGCAGAGUAAUAAUGCUUUUGAAGUGGGCAUAUGAGCAGGCAAUAACAAGAAAUCACUCACAGGAAAAACCAGUUGUUUUAAUUUUCUAGAUAACUUGUACUGGAAAAUAUGGAUGGCAGGUCAAACUAACCGAAGCAAGUACUAAAAUUGUGAAGAAGUUCAAAUGUUGAGAAUGAGACAGAAGCCAGCAUUUGAUUGUAUGGAGGUGAGUAGCUAUGAUUCCAUUAUCUUCCGAUGAGGAAGCAUUCAAUUCUUCCAUGGCAUCAAAUUUACUACCUGAUAAACGCGCUGCACAAAGUGAAUGUAUUAAUACACAAUAAAACUCAUUCAGUGAUGUCAAUCUAUCAUGAUAUAUAGAUUCUGCUUUUACCGAACUUCGAAAUUGAAAAGUAAAAUGGAGGAAACAGGAAGAAGCUUCCAUCUUAUAUAAUUUACAAACAGAAAAGCACUCACUCAAGCAAAAAUGAACCAUAGUUUGUAUCCACCAAUAACCAAGCACAUAAGCAAAAAUGGAAAAGUAUCUGUAGUAUGUUUCAUUUGUAUCAAAUUCCACCCACUUCAACUUCAGAUCAACAAAAGUGGGAAAGUGACAUAAUCAUGAUAUGACAACAUGCAUUCUUAAACCAACCUUCAUUCGAUAAUAUGAGAUCAGCACAUCCCAUUUUACAUAGCUUCAGCCUUCAGGGACACAUGAAGCAUUUGAAAUAGAAACUCAUUCUUUGUUGGCAAGGUCUGUUUGACAUGUGCUAGUGCCAUAGUAGACAUGAGAAGAUACAACUAUACUCACGCAAACUUCUUGACAGAUACUGCAUUCAUUCUCAAGUAACUUGCCAUUUAAAGAUACAAGGACACAUCAAGAAAAUGCCUAACAUAAAUUCAUUUUCAGGAAAAUAGAUUUCAGAAUAAUAACCAAUUACAUUUUGGUUUUGUUGAUUAUAACAAAGCCACAAAACUGUUUCAGAAAAUUCAUUCUCAUAAUAUGAUAUCAAACUAUGCAUAUAGGCCAUUGGCUCAAAAUGAAGCAGAUAAGUGUUUCUCUUCAUAUGAAUAGUGUGAACUCCUUUGAACAAAUUCUUAAUUGGAUAAUUUGGCAGUUACAUAAAGAAAAGACCAAAUGUGAACCUCAAAGCAUACCUGCUCUUGAGAUAAAAUAAGGAGGAAGCUCUCCAAGCGCUGUCCCCAAUCCCCAUAAAACAGCUUCUACCUGGACCUGUGGCAAUAUGCUACUAAGUGGAACCCGCAAUCCAUGAGAUGUUGGAAACACUGCAUCUCCGAAUUCAUGGCAAUCUUUGUCAAGCCAUGAAGGACCUCUUUUGAGCUGUAUUGUGUCAUACAUAGCACUUUUUAGAUCAACUCGGCCACACUGCAUUGCUUUUAUUGUGAACAGGGCAAUAUGAGGACCCAGAUAAAGGACAAAAGUGUGCAAACCAGACCCAAGACCAAUUGAAGAUGCAACACCAAGGGCAAUCCACCACAAUCCAAACCGCAAAUAAUGAGCAAGUUCCUCAAUGUGCUUUUCAUGAGAGCCAUCAAUGGUCACAAGCAGAAUUCCAAGCACAGCCACCAGUGUGCUUAAAAGCAUCAGCCAACCACCUUUUGCCAGUAGAUAAAUUACUGAUUUCUUAAAAUACUCUAUCAUAGCCAGAGUGAAAAACUUCAAUGUUUUGAAAGGUUGCGUUGUCAUCGUCAGAUUUUCUAGUUCUUGUUGAUGCCUCAGGCGAUGAUCGGCGAUUGAUGUAUCCAUAUUUUGAGAAGAAGAGGUUGCUCCUUUGCCAGAACCCAUUACCAUCACCUACUAUAAUUAAAAUCUCUACCGUUUUCCUCUUUAUCUAUAAAUCUUCCAAUACAAAACUAAAUGGGUAUAGAUUUCGAUUGGGCAAAAUCAGCAGAACGAAUUAAUGGGCAGGAUUUGCAGCGAACAUUUGUGUCUCAAAAUUGCUGGUUUGGGGCGAGAAUGGAGAUCCAAAUACAAAAGAAAAAGGACGCGAAAUUUCAGAGAACAAAGUUGAGGGGAAUUUGCGUUGAGAUCUCGCAGUGGAGCUUUAUGGUCCUCUCUCCGUGGGAUGAGAGGGAGACCUCUGCGCAGCGCGUAAGAUGUCCUUCUACCUUUUGUUCUUUCCU